rnacentral:antisense_RNA from 1 species
CUUGAGGGACCCCAGCCACAGCGGCCGCUCCGCCGGCCGGUCCUGCCCGUAGGUGGCCAGCAGUGCCUGUGCCUC